GACGAACGCUGGCGGCGUGCUUAACACAUGCAAGUCGAACGAUGAAGCCGGAGCUUGCUCCGGUGGAUUAGUGGCGAACGGGUGAGUAACACGUGAGCAAUCUGCCCUUGACUCUGGGAUAACUGCGGGAAACUGUAGCUAAUACCGGAUACGACACCUUGGGGCAUCCCAGGGUGUGGAAAGAAUUUCGGUCAAGGAUGAGCUCGCGGCCUAUCAGCUAGUUGGUGAGGUAAUGGCUCACCAAGGCGACGACGGGUAGCCGGCCUGAGAGGGUGGCCGGCCACACUGGAACUGGGACACGGUCCAGACUCCUACGGGAGGCAGCAGUGGGGAAUAUUGCACAAUGGGCGAAAGCCUGAUGCAGCAACGCCGCGUGAGGGAUGAAGGCCUUCGGGUUGUAAACCUCUUUUAGCAGGGAAGAAGCGAAAGUGACGGUACCUGCAGAAAAAGCACCGGCUAACUACGUGCCAGCCGCCGCAGUAA
rnacentral:rRNA from 1 species